rnacentral:rRNA from 1 species
ACGACUCUAGGCAACAGAUAUCUCAGCUCUCGCAUCGAUGAAGAACGUAGUGAAAUGUGAUACUUGGUGUGAAUUGUAGAAUCUUGUGAACCAUCGAGUCUUUGAACAUAAGUUGCGCCCCAAGCCAUUAGGCCGAGGGCAUUCCUGCUUGGGUGUUAUCGAGCUCUGGGGAAAUGGGACGGGUGGAAGAUGGCCUCUCAUGAUCCCGUCAGUUGCGGUUGGCCUAAAAGCGAGUCCCUGACAAUGACAGCGUCGUGACCAUCGAUGGUAGAGCUCCCGACAUGCUUUGUCCCCGAUGACGUGCGUUUAUUGUCCACUUGACCUCAUCGGACCCCCCGUAUCGCUUGAUCAAUGCUCGCAUCAUGACCCCAGGUCAGACGGGAUCACCCAUUGAGUUUAAGCAUAUCAAUAAGCAAAGGAAGAGAAACUUACCAGGAUUCUCUUAGUAACAGUAAGCAAACCAGAAAAAGCCCAGCUUGAGAAUCAGGCCUCCCUGAAGUCUGAAUUAUAGUCUGGAUCAACAUCUUCAGUGGCGGACCAGGCCCAAGUCCCCUGGAAAGGGGCACCGAAGAGGGUGAGAACCCCAUUGUGCCCAGACCCUAUUGCACCACGAGGCGCUAUCCACAAGUCAGGUUGUUUGGGAAUGCAGCCCCAAUUGGGCGGUAAAUUUCAUCCAAGGCUGAAUACGGGCGAGAGACUGAUAGCGAACAAGUACCGCAAAGGAAAGAUGAAAAGGACUUUGAACAGAGACUCAAAGAAUGCUUGAAAUUGUCAGAAGGAAAGUGAAUAGGGGUCGACGAUGCACCCCGAUCAUAUGUGGAAUGACAAAAGUCGGUCUACCAAUCGACUCGGGGCGUGGACCGAUGCGGGUCUCGGUGAUGGCCUAAGCUUGGGCUUUCAAUGUAACCAUUGAGACGUCAUCUCCGUGAUCGUGGAAUGCAGUAAGUGCCAUCUUGACAUGCCUCGACACCCACGUGCUCUCGACGUCAGCUUGCGGGCUCUCCAUCCAGCCCAUCUUGAAACACAGACAAAAAAGUCUGACAUGCGUGCAAGUCAAUGGGCCAAGAUACCCGUAAGGUGCAAGGAAGCUAAUUCGAGGGAUCCCUCACGGGUGCACCAUCAAUUGACCUUGAUCUUGUAAGAAGGGUUCGAGUGCGAACAUGCCCAUUGGGACCCGAUAAAUGGUGAACUAUGCCUAAGUAGAACGAAGCCAGAGGAAACUCUGGUGGAGGCCCACAGUGAUACUGACAUGCAAAUCGUUCAUCUGACUUGGGUAUAGGGGCGAAAGACUAAUCGAACCAUUUAGCAGCUAGUUCCCUUUGAAGUUUCCCUCAGGAUAGCUGGAGCCCCCGACGAGUUAUAUCGAGUAAAGCCAAUGAUUAGAGGCAUCAGGGGCGCUACACCCUUGACCUAUUCUCAAACUUUAAAUAUGUAGGACGACGUAGUUGCUUCAUCGAGCCACGCCAUGAAAUUAAGAGCUCUAAGUGGGCCAUUUUUGAUAAGCAAAACUAGCAAUGUAGGAUAAACCAGAAGCUGGGUUAUGGUGCCCAACUGUGUACUAACCCAGAACCCACUAAGGGUGUUGGUUGAUUAAGACAGUAAGACGGUGGUCACGGAAGUCGAAAUCCACUAAAGAGCCUGUAGCAACUCACCUGCCAAAUCAACUUGCCUCGAAAAUAGAUGGUACUUAAGUGCGUGACCUAUACCCGACUGUCAGGGUAAGGGCCAGGCCCUGAUGAGUAGGACACGAGGCCGAACAGAGUGACCAUUGGUGCCGAUCUUAAUGGUAGUAGCAAAUAUUGAAAUAAGAACUUUGAAGGUCAAAGAGGAGAAAGGUUCCAUGUGAACGGCACUUGGACAUGGGUUAGUCGAUCCUAAGAGACAGGGGAAGCCCAUCCGACAGCGCAUCCUGCAUGAGCUUUGAAAGAGAAUUGGGUUAAAAUUCUUGAACCGAGAUGCGGUGGCUGACGGUAAUGUUAGGGAGUCCAGAGACAUUGAUGAGGGCCUCGGAAAGAGUUAUCUUUUUUGUUUAAUGGCUCGUUUACCUUAGAAAUGGCUCAAUCAGAGGUAGGGUCUAGCGAUCGAAAGAGCAUUGCACGUCGCGUGGUAUCUGGUGCACCCUCGGUAGCCUUUGAAAAUUUGAAAAAUCAAGUACCAUCCAUGCUCGGUCGUACUUAUAAUCGUAUCAGGUCUCCAAGGUGAACAACCUUUGGUCAAUGGAAUAAUGUAGGCAAGAAAAGUCGGUAAAAUGGAUCCGUAACCUCAAAAAAAGGAUUAGCUCUAAACGCUGGGCAAGGAGGUCCCGGUCCCAAACCCAUUGACUGUCGAUGCACUACUUGAGCUACUUCUAUGAUAAGAGUGGGUCACCAUGUGCCAGUCAAGGGACAGACUGGGAACGACUCUCUCGGAGGCCUUCCUCAGGUGACGAACAAUUGACUCAGAACUGGUAUGGACAAGGGGAAUCUGACUAUUUAAUUAAAACAAAGUGUUACGAUGGUCC